ACCUGGCUAGCUCAGUCAAUAGAGGAUGUGACUCUUAAUCUCAGGGUUGUGGGUUAGAGCCCUACGUUGGGCA
rnacentral:tRNA from 1 species